UACGUAGGGGGCAAGCGUUGUCCGGAUUUAUUGGGCGUAAAGAGCGUGUAGGCGGCUUGGAAGGUCCGUUGUGAAAACUCGAGGCUCAACCUCGAGACGCCGAUGGAAACCACCUAGCUAGAGUCCGGAAGAGGAGAGUGGAAUUCCUGGUGUAGCGGUGAAAUGCGCAGAUAUCAGGAAGAACACCCGUGGCUAAGGCGGCUCUCUGGUACGGUACUGACGCUGAGACGCGAAAGCGUGGGGAGCGAACAGG
rnacentral:rRNA from 1 species